rfam:Oryza rufipogon genomic scaffold, chr01
AAAAAGAUAAACUCUGGGUUUCCGUGUCCAACGUUUGACUGUCCGUCUUAGAUGAUAAAACAUGAUUAAUACUUUAUGCGUGACUUGUCUUUUUAAUUUUUUUUCAUAAUUUUUUUAAAUAAGACGGACGGUCAAAUGUUGGACACGGAAGCCUAGAGUUUGUAUUUUU